rnacentral:rRNA from 1 species
AUUGAACGCUGGCGGCAGGCCUAACACAUGCAAGUCGGACGGUAGCACAGAGAGCUUGCUCUCGGAUGACGAGUGGCGGACGGGUGAGUAAUGUCUGGGGAUCUGCCCGAUAGAGGGGGAUAACCACUGGAAACGGUGGCUAAUACCGCAUAACGUCGCAAGACCAAAGAGGGGGACCUUCGGGCCUCUCACUAUCGGAUGAACCCAGAUGGGAUUAGCUAGUAGGCGGGGUAAUGGCCCACCUAGGCGACGAUCCCUAGCUGGUCUGAGAGGAUGACCAGCCACACUGGAACUGAGACACGGUCCAGACUCCUACGGGAGGCAGCAGUGGGGAAUAUUGCACAAUGGGCGCAAGCCUGAUGCAGCCAUGCCGCGUGUAUGAAGAAGGCCUUCGGGUUGUAAAGUACUUUCAGCGGGGAGGAAGGCGGUGAGGUUAAUAACCUUGCCGAUUGACGUUACCCGCAGAAGAAGCACCGGCUAACUCCGUGCCAGCAGCCGCGGUAA